GAUGAACGCGGGCGGCGUGCCUAAUACAGGCAAGUCGAGCGAACGGACGAGAAGCUUGCUUCUCUGAUGUUAGCGGCGGACGGGUGAGUAACACGUGGAUAACCUACCUAUAAGACUGGGAUAACUUCGGGAAACCGUAGCUAAUACCGGAUAAUAUUUUAAACCGCAUGGUUCAAAAGUGAAAGACGGUCUUGCUGUCACUUAUAGAUGGAUCCGCGCUGCAUUAGCUAGUUGGUAAGGUAACGGCUUACCAAGGCAACGAUGCAUAGCCGACCUGAGAGGGUGAUCGGCCACACUGGAACUGAGACACGGUCCAGACUCCUACGGGAGGCAGCAGUAGGGAAUCUUCCGCAAUGGGCGAAAGCCUGACGGAGCAACGCCGCGUGAGUGAUGAAGGUCUUCGGAUCGUAAAACUCUGUUAUUAGGGAAGAACAUAUGUGUAAGUAACUGUGCACAUCUUGACGGUACCUAAUCAGAAAGCCACGGCUAACUACGUG
rnacentral:rRNA from 1 species